GGAGGAAAAGAAACUAACAAGGAUUCCCCUAGUAACUGCGAGUGAAGCGGGAAAAGCUCAAAUUUAAAAUCUGGUAGCUUUGCUGCCCGAGUUGUAAUCUAGAGAAGCAUUAUCAGUGCUAGCGCGUGUAUAAGUGUCCUGGAAUGGACCAUCAUAGAGGGUGAGAAUCCCGUCUUUGACACGACUCCUAGUGCCUACGGAUGUGCUCUCAAAGAGUCGAGUUGUUUGGGAAUGCAGCUCUAAAUGGGUGGUAAAUUCCAUCUAAAGCUAAAUAUUGGCGAGAGACCGAUAGCGAACAAGUACCGUGAGGGAAAGAUGAAAAGAACUUUGGAAAGAGAGUUAAACAGUACGUGAAAUUGCUGAAAGGGAAACGCUUGAAGUCAGUCGCGUUGGCUGGGGAUCAACCUUGCUUUUGCUUGGCUUACUUCCCAGUUGACGGGUCAGCAUCAGUUUUGACCAGUGGAUAAAGGCUAGGGGAAUGUGGCACCUUCGGGUGUGUUAUAGCCCUUGGUCAUAUACAUUGAUUGGGACUGA
rnacentral:rRNA from 2 species